GCCCUCAGUACGGCGAGUGAGCGGCAAAAGCUCAAUUUGAAAUCUAGUACCUCUCGGUGCUCGAGUUGUAAUUUGAAGGUAGUUUUCUGGUGCUGGCCCUUGUCUAUGUUCCUUGGAACAGGACGUCAUAGAGGGUGAGAAUCCCGUCUGAUGGGGUGUCCAGUGCUUUGUAGAUUUCUACCGAAGAGUCGAGUUGUUUGGGAAUGCAGCUCUAAGUGGGUGGUAAAUUCCAUCUAAAGCUAAAUACUGGCGAGAGACCGAUAGCGAACAAGUACAGUGAUGGAAAGAUGAAAAGAACUUUGAAAAGAGAGUGAAAAAGUACGUGAAAUUGUUGAAAGGGAAGGGUAUUGGAUCAGACUUGGUGUCUUGUGAUUAUCUUCCCUUCUUGGGUUGUGCACUCGCAUUUCACUGGGCCAGCAUCGGUUCGGAUGGCAAGAUAAUGGCUUGGGAAUGUGGCACUCU
rnacentral:rRNA from 1 species